rnacentral:ribozyme from 1 species
UUUGUGUUUUGUUUUUUUUUUCUUUUUUUGUGGUCUCCUCUACCAUUUUCCGUUGAGUGUCAACUACUUGCUAGAUCGAUGAUGGACAGGAAAGAAAGGAGGAAGGAAGGUC